GACGAACGCUGGCGGCGUGCUUAACACAUGCAAGUCGAACGGUGAAGGGACCAGCUUGCUGGUUCUGGAUGAGUGGCGAACGGGUGAGUAACACGUGAGUAACCUGCCCCCUUCUUCUGGAUAACCGCAUGAAAGUGUGGCUAAUACGGGAUAUUCUGGGUCUGUCGCAUGGCGGGCCCGGGAAAGAUAUUGCUUCGGUGGGGGAUGGGCUCGCGGCCUAUCAGCUUGUUGGUGGGGUGAUGGCCUACCAAGGCGGUGACGGGUAGCCGGCCUGAGAGGGGGGACGGUCACACUGGGACUGAGACAAGGCCCACACUCCUACGGGAGGCAGCAGUGGGGAAUACAGCACAGUGGGAGCAAGCCUGAUGCAGCGACGCCGCGUGAGGGAUGGAGGCCUUCGGGUUGUAGACCUCUUUCGCCAGUGAAGCAGGCCUGCUCCUUGUGGGUGGGUUGACGGUAGCUGGAUAAGAAGCGCCGGCUAACUACGUG
rnacentral:rRNA from 1 species